rnacentral:rRNA from 1 species
CCUACGGGAGGCUGCAGUAGGGAAUAUUGCUCAAUGGGGGAAACCCUGAAGCAGCAACGCCGCGUGGAGGAUGAAGGUUUUCGGAUCGUAAACCCCUUUUGGUAGAGAAGAUAAUGACGGUACCUAACGAAUAAGCACCGGCUAACUCCGUGCCAGCAGCCGCGGUAAUACGGAGGGUGCAAGCGUUAUUCGGAUUCACUGGGCGUAAAGAGCGCGUAGGCGGGAUAGCAAGUCAGAUGUGAAAUCCUAUGGCUUAACCAUAGAACUGCAUUUGAAACUGUUAGUCUAGAGUAUGGGAGAGGUAGGUGGAAUUCUUGGUGUAGGGGUGAAAUGCGUAGAGAUCAGGAGGAAUACUCAUUGCGAAGGCGACCUGCUGGAACAUGACUGACGCUGAGGCGCGAAGGCGUGGGGAGCAAACAGGAUUAGAUACCCGUGUAGUC